AUGGAGGCUGUGGCCGCGGCCGCGGCCACCUCAUUCGUGGAGUGGAUGGUGCCGAAGCUCUUUGAUUUCUUACAUGCAAAUCAUGAGCUUCGGAAGAACCUAAAGAAUGACAUUAUCUACAUCAAGCAUGAGUUUGCUAUGAUUUCUGCUGUCAUCAAGGAUGAUGAUAGCCGUGGUGGCUGCCGCAGCAGCAGUGAACAAGUGCAUACGGAGUGGAUCAAUAUUGUGCGUGAAUUGGCGCACGCCAUAGAAGACUGCAUCGACCGCUUCAUGCACAGUGUGACCAUGGCUGACUCGGAAAAAGGGAGGCUCAGCCGGGCUCUCCACCGGGUGAAGACGGCGAAGACCCGUGGCAAGUUUGCUGCGGAGAUCCGGACGCUGAAGAAUAGAUCAGAAGAUGCUUCCAAGCUGAGAGAAAAAUACUGCAACAACAGCAGCAGCAGUUCCUCACCAAGGUGGUCGUUGUCGUCUGAGCAGACAGACGCGCCGACAGCGGUUCAGGAUGAUGACGAUGACACCCAUUCAUCAGCUUCCAUCGCCGUUCCUGUGGGUAUCGACGGUCCCCGUGGCGAGCUUAUGGAUCUGAUCCAGCAGGAGCAACAGCUUAAGGUGAUUACCAUUGUGGGUUUCCAUGGCAUGGGCAAGACUCUCCUUGCCAAUCAUCUGUACAACUCCAAGGCAAUUGAGAGCCAAUAUGAAGUACGGGCUUGGGUCCAAGGGGGGAGGAGGACAGCAGCGGAUGUUCUCAAGGAGAUACUCAAGCAGCUUGGCCACCUUCCCCUGCCAACCAAUGGCAGUCUCACUCUCACCUUGCUUCACGCGAGCAUCAGAGAGUGCAUUGGCAACAAGAGGUUCUUUAUUGUAAUUGAUGACCUGCGGACAACAGCAUAUUGGCACAACAUGAAAGCAGCCUUUGUCGGUUUAAAUGGCAGAUUUCUGGUGACGACGGUCAUUCAGCCCGUAGCAAAUAUCUGUCGCAGCUCAUCUGUUAAUGAUCAUGUAUACACAAUGGCAACUCUUACCGACCAAGACUCAAGAAUAUUGUUCUUCAAGGAAGCUUUCCAAGACGAUGAACAGCCGCAGCAUGUGGAUGACCUCGGCUAUGCAGCGCUCAAGAAAUGUGAUGGUCUUCCCCUUGCUCUUGUUACCACCGCCAGGUUCUUGAAAAGCGCAGGUAAUCCAACACCCAUGAUAUGGGCAAAACUAUGCGCCAACCUGGGUACACAUAUGGAGAGUGAUGAUCUAUUUGCAAGAAUGAGGCGUGUGCUUGUCCAGAGCUACACCAGCCUUGAUAGCCAGGUCGCCAGGACAUUCUUGCUCUAUUUGAGUACCUACCCAAGUGGUCGUCCUAUCAAGAAAUCGAGCUUGUUAAGGAGAUGGUUAGCAGAAGGCUUGUCCCCAGGAGACAAUACAUAUAGUGAUGUUGAUGCCGCCAUUAGCAAUUUCAAUAAGCUUGUUGAUUGGAGCAUCAUCCAGCCAAUGGAAGCCAGCGGCAACAACACAGAGGUGAAGACAUGUCAUACCCAUGGCAUGAUGCUGGAGUUCGUCCUGCGCAAGUCCAUGUCCGACAACUUCGUUACCGUGUUGUAUGAUGGGCAGUCUACCUCUCGCCUACCCAAUAAUAUCCGCCGGCUUGCUCUGCAUCAUGCAAGGCCAAGAGAAGUGCCAGGUUUAACUCUUGUUCGGUCACUGACAAUCUUGGGAGAGGCGCACCCAUCUGUCCUGGACUUCUCCAAGUAUGAACUGCUGCGAGUUUUGGAUCUGGAAAAGUGCGUUGUACCCUUGGAGGAUGGCCAUCUCAAGUUGAUAUGCAGAAAACUGUUGCUGCUGAGGUACCUAUGCCUCGGGGCUGCAGUUAUUGCCACGGUGCUUCCCAAGGAGAUCAGGAAGCUUCAAUUAUUGGAUACACUGGAUGUAAGUAAAACAAAGAUAGAGAUUCUGCCAACGCAAGUCAUGGAGCUGCCACGUCUUGUUCAUCUCUUUGGGAAGUUCAAGCUCAAGAAAGAUCUAGGAGACUGGAGAAUGAGUAAGCUACAGAGUUGGUUGUUAGAGAAUAGCAAAUUGGAAACACUGGCAGGAUUUGUUGUGGACAACAGCAAGAGCCAAGAUUUUGCACAGCUCAUGGAUAAUAUGAAGGCUUUGACAAAGGUGAAAAUAUGGUGCGAGGCUACCGCCGACACCAGCAGCUCAAGUCAUCUCUCAAAGGCCAUCAAAGGGAUCAUUGAGAGAAGCACCCUGUUCAUAGGGACCCCUUCACUAUCACUCAAUUUUGAAGGUGAGUUGACCCAAGACAUGCUGAAUUUCUCUCUGGAGAAAGGAAAACAUUCAUGCUCCCUCAAGCUGCAAGGAAGCAAGAUAUGCAGCCUGCCCCCCUUUGUUGCCUUGCUGGGUCGUCUCACUAAGCUAGGUCUUUCAUCCCCUCAGCUGAGCCUGAGCCAAGACUUCCUUGCUGCCCUGAGCAAAGUGCCCGGCCUGGCGUACCUGAAGCUGGUUGCAACUAGACUGGACAAGCUUGUCAUCAUAAAAGGUAUGCUGAAGAGCCUGGGACGCCUAUCCAUUGUGGUCGACUCCAUGAUGGAUCAGCUGGAAAUCAAAGAGGGAGCUCUACCAUGCCUCAAGUCACUGCAGCUGCUAUGCAAAGAUCUGUCUGGCUCUAUUUCCGGCACGUCAGCGGUCCAGUCCCUUGGACAUCUUAAGGAGAUUGUUCUCCAUCGUGAAGUGGGAGAUGAAACAAAAAAUGAGUGGAAAGAAGCAGCAAAGAACCUCCCAAGUCCACGUCCCAAGAUCUUGUUUCUCUAG
rnacentral:rRNA from 1 species